rnacentral:misc_RNA from 1 species
UCCGAGUUGACCCCGGCAGUCUCCUGCGAGUCCCCGCCAUUACGCGCUGGCAACACAGGACAAGGGUUGCGCUCGUUGCGGGACUUAACCCAACAUCUCACGACACGAGCUGACGACAACCAUGCACCACCUGUAUACCGCCCUUGCGGACCUGACAUCUCUGCCAGUUUUCGGUAUAUGUCAAGCCUUGGUAAGGUUCUUCGCGUUGCGUCGAAUUAAGCCACAUGCUCCGCCGCUUGUGCGGGCCCCCGUCAAUUCCUUUGAGUUUUAGCCUUGCGGCCGUACUCCCCAGGCGGGGCGCUUAACGCGUUAGCUGCGGCACCGAAGGGGUCGCUCCCCCCGGCACCUAGUGCUCAUCGUUUACAGCUAGGACUAC